rnacentral:rRNA from 1 species
UGAGCAAUCUGCCCUUCUCAUCGGAAUAAGCGUUGGAAACGACGUCUAAUGCCGAAUACGACCUCCUUUCGCAUGAUCGGAGGUGGAAAGCUCCGGCGGAGAAGGAUGAGCUCGCGGCCUAUCAGCUAGUUGGUGUGGGUAACGGCUCACCAAGGCAACGACGGGUAGCUGGUCUGAGAGGAUGGCCAGCCACAUUGGGACUGAGACACCGGCCCAGACUCCCGUAACGGGG